AAGCUAAAUAUUGGCGAGAGACCGAUAGCGAACAAGUACAGUGAUGGAAAGAUGAAAAGAACUUUGAAAAGAGAGUGAAAAAGUACGUGAAAUUGUUGAAAGGGAAGGGUAUUAGAUCAGACUUGGUGUUUUGUGAUUAUCUUCCCUUCUUGGGUUGUGCACUCGCAUUUCACUGGGCCAGCAUCGGUUCGGGUGGUAAGAUAAUGACAUUGGAACGUGGCACUGCCUUCGGGUGGUGUGUUAUAGCCCUUGUUGAUGUUGCCUAUCUGGACCGAGGACUGCGGCUUUUGCCUAGGAUGCUGGCGUAAUGAUCUAACA
rnacentral:rRNA from 1 species